GAAGGUGAAUAAGCAUGAUUACAGCAUCAAUUGAUGCACAUAUUCUUGCAAUAACAACCUGUGGAGCUGUGUUCUUCUGAGCAUCAUCAUGGGGUCUAGUGCCACGGAAAUUGAAGAAUUGGAAAACACCACUUUUAAGUAUCUUACAGGAGAACAGACUGAAAAAAUGUGGCAGCGCCUGAAAGGAAUACUAAGAUGCUUAGUGAAGCAGCUGGAAAGAGGUGACGUUAACGUCGUUGACUUAAAGAAGAAUAUUGAAUAUGCGGCAUCUGUGCUGGAAGCAGUUUAUAUCGAUGAAACAAGAAGACUUCUGGAUACUGAAGAUGAGCUCAGUGACAUUCAGACUGACUCAGUCCCAUCUGAAGUCCGGGACUGGUUGGCUUCUACCUUUACACGGAAAAUGGGGAUGACAAAAAAGAAACCUGAGGAAAAACCAAAAUUUCGGAGCAUUGUGCAUGCUGUUCAAGCUGGAAUUUUUGUGGAAAGGAUGUACCGAAAAACAUAUCAUAUGGUUGGUUUGGCAUAUCCAGCAGCUGUCAUCGUAACAUUAAAG
rnacentral:sRNA from 1 species